CUUUUAUGGAGAGUUUGAUCCUGGCUCAGAGUGAACGCUGGCGGCGUGCCUAAUACAUGCAAGUCGAACGAUGAAGCUUCUAGCUUGCUAGAAGUGGAUUAGUGGCGCACGGGUGAGUAACGCAUAGGUCAUGUGCCUCUUAGUUUGGGAUAGCCAUUGGAAACGAUGAUUAAUACCAGAUACUCCCUACGGGGGAAAGAUUUAUCGCUAAGAGAUCAGCCUAUGUCCUAUCAGCUUGUUGGUAAGGUAAUGGCUUACCAAGGCUAUGACGGGUAUCCGGCCUGAGAGGGUGAACGGACACACUGGAACUGAGACACGGUCCAGACUCCUACGGGAGGCAGCAGUAGGGAAUAUUGCUCAAUGGGGGAAACCCUGAAGCAGCAACGCCGCGUGGAGGAUGAAGGUUUUAGGAUUGUAAACUCCUUUUGUUAGAGAAGAUAAUGACGGUAUCUAACGAAUAAGCACCGGCUAACUCCGUGCCAGCAGCCGCGGUAAUACGGAGGGUGCAAGCGUUACUCGGAAUCACUGGGCGUAAAGAGCGCGUAGGCGGGAUAGUCAGUCAGGUGUGAAAUCCUAUGGCUUAACCAUAGAACUGCAUUUGAAACUACUAUUCUAGAGUGUGGGAGAGGUAGGUGGAAUUCUUGGUGUAGGGGUAAAAUCCGUAGAGAUCAAGAGGAAUACUCAUUGCGAAGGCGACCUGCUGGAACAUUACUGACGCUGAUUGCGCGAAAGCGUGGGGAGCAAACAGGAUUAGAUACCCUGGUAGUCCACGCCCUAAACGAUGGAUGCUAGUUGUUGGAGGGCUUAGUCUCUCCAGUAAUGCAGCUAACGCAUUAAGCAUCCCGCCUGGGGAGUACGGUCGCAAGAUUAAAACUCAAAGGAAUAGACGGGGACCCGCACAAGCGGUGGAGCAUGUGGUUUAAUUCGAAGAUACACGAAGAACCUUACCUAGGCUUGACAUUGAGAGAAUCCGCUAGAAAUAGUGGAGUGUCUAGCUUGCUAGACCUUGAAAACAGGUGCUGCACGGCUGUCGUCAGCUCGUGUCGUGAGAUGUUGGGUUAAGUCCCGCAACGAGCGCAACCCCCUUUCUUAGUUGCUAACAGGUCAUGCUGAGAACUCUAAGGAUACUGCCUCCGUAAGGAGGAGGAAGGUGGGGACGACGUCAAGUCAUCAUGGCCCUUACGCCUAGGGCUACACACGUGCUACAAUGGGGUGCACAAAGAGAAGCAAUACUGCGAAGUGGAGCCAAUCUUCAAAACGCCUCUCAGUUCGGAUUGUAGGCUGCAACUCGCCUGCAUGAAGCUGGAAUCGCUAGUAAUCGCAAAUCAGCCAUGUUGCGGUGAAUACGUUCCCGGGUCUUGUACUCACCGCCCGUCACACCAUGGGAGUUGUGUUUGCCUUAAGUCAGGAUGCUAAAUUAGCUACUGCCCACGGCACACACAGCGACUGGGGUGAAGUCGUAACAAGGUAACCGUAGGUGAACCUGCGGUUGGAUCACCUCCUUUCUAGAGAAAAGC
rnacentral:rRNA from 2 species